CCAGGAACAGUCAGUGCUUAGAGGAGCUGUCUGUCAGAAACAUUGAGGAGGUUUGAGAAAGACCUUUGAGUUUAGAGAAGGGUUGGCUCCUUUCAAGCUCUGAUAAAACUCUGCAGGGUUUGGACAGCUUUGGUCAUUCAGAGGACCUGGAACCACUAGCAAGUUGAGGACUUGAGAAGUUGUGUUCCAUUGACGUCAGCUUCUGCGCAUCUGCAAAUUCACCUGAACAAAUUGACACCUUUGAGUUGUGCUCUUGUUGGUGACACACAGUCUGAUGUGCAAAUCCCUCAAAGUCAGCUUUUAUUUGAGUCAUUGCAGUGUGUGCAGUGGCUGGUGCUGAGAAGUUGCUGGAGAGUGGUGCCUCUCAAUGUGUUCCAAGAAGGAAGAGGAGCAUGAAAGAGUGCUUGAUGGAUAAUGUGGCUGCAGGUUGUGCUUAUUUAGCAGAUUGCAUUUUCUGGAGUCUAAGACCUUUUCCAUGAUUGAUUGUCAGUGCCAGGGUUGAGGAGAGGCUUGGGACAGCGGAAGGAGGGCUGGCAUGGUGAAGGUAUGAGAUUGCAGAUCCAACCCCUCAUGGAAAGCCAGGCUCAGGGGCCAGGAGACAGACACUGCCUGCUCCAGCACCACCUCAUCCACACAGGCUGCCUGAGGAGGUGAAUCCCAACACAUGUGAUAGCUCUGAGAAAGGUGUUUCCGAGGAAAUGCCCAGGAAGUAAAGGAGUGUCAAAUAUGCGGCCCUGUUUAUCCAGCGACAUAAAAGGAAGAUCCAAUACUCCAGAGACAUUUUGGUUUAUCUUGGCUGCCUCACACUCUAGCUACAUUUCAAAACCAAAUUCAUUUAUAUUUUCAUUGCAGUUAUAAUUUCCUGCACAAACAAGCCAACAAAAUUGGUUGCUUCAGGACCUUAUAAUUCCAUGUAAUCUGCUCUGAGUCCUAAAAGAAACCUGCAGAUAAUUUGGGCUCAAAAUCUUUUUGUAACAGGUUAAGCUGGCUUCCAAACAGUUGGACAAUGACAACCAUGUGUGACUUUUGAAAGCCUCUGUCUGUUCAUCUAAAAUGUAAAUUCCCUGCUAAGGGCACCACAUAUAAGUAAAUUACGUUUUAAACACCAAAUCCAUUUUAUUUGCUGAGGCCUUGGGCACAUUUUAAUACUGCAAUGCUAGCACUUUAAGUGUAUUUUUGUGAGGCCUCUAGAGCGUUGUCACGGCUAGGCACCGUAUAAAUAACAUUUAUUGUUAUUAUCAUUGUAUGUCGUAUUCACUCUGUUUUGCUACCAUUAAUAAACCAUUCAGGCAAUGUUGUUGUAAUGUAUAAUAUUAGCAGCAGCCUCCUUUGGGAGACAUAUAACUGGGUACUUAAUAUUCUAGCUGUUUCCUGGGCCAUCUCUCCACAGGCUCAGACACUACAGUGUGUUCAAAGUUCAGCAUAAAAAAAUGGGCUGGCUGUGCAAAGAUCACAGUAUCUUACAGCACGCCUUGCAGCAACUCACAUCCUGGCCCUUGCUGUCAAAAUUCUUUAACACUAGAUAAUAGUAAAUUAGGGAAAUUGCCUGCAAUUUGGGGAAUGCUUUGUUGCCCCUUUUAAAUUUGUCAUUGCUUGGAAAAAAAAAAAAAGUAAAAGAUGCAUUCACUGGAUUGAUAUUUAUAUACCUUUGCAUCAGCCUUGCAGAUAAAGCUGCUGCCCUUCAGCCCUCUUGUGGGACUGCCUAGAUGACAGAAAGCUCUGGUGCUAAGGAAAAGUGAACUGUGAAGCCCAGGGUUGUUUCAGGCCUGUAUUAAUUUGCACUGAGGAUCAUCCUCUGUUAAUGGCUUACAAAGCAAAAUUGCUGUGACCUUUUCUCUUAAUAAACAGCAGGCAAAAUCCAACCAUGCUUAGAAUUGCGUUCUUAAAACCACAAAAACAAGCAAUGUUUUUGUGUAACAAUGAUGAUGUGAAUACGGAAGAGAAAAAUGUUCAUGCUGUGAAAGCACUGGUGGAUUAGCAGGUGGAAAGAUGGGGGGAAACCUCCUUGCUGCAAGGCCUUCUCACCACUCAGCCACCCAAAUGCUUCAUCAGCUCACAAGGCAGAAGAUCCCAGUUGGCAGAUGCCUUUGAAGGGCACUGCAGGCCAGGUGUGACUUGGGCUGGCACGGGAUGCUGUCUUUUAGCAGUCCUGCCUCUGUUUGUGAUUUAUUCACCUUUCCUAUCUCUUUGUGGACUUCCUUGCAGCUUUUUCUGGGCAAGCUGAGUUGUGAUGUGUGGCUGGACCCAUCGGUGCUGGGCUGUGGGCUGUAGCACAUUGGCUGCUCAGUGCAGGAGGAGCUGGCUCCAGGCAGCCUCAGCACCACACACAGCCAGGUCAGAGCACAAGCCAAUGGCUCCAUCACAUUUAAGCUCAAGACACACUUUUCUUUCCCUGUUGCCUGUCUUGCUCAUGCAUUUUUCCCCUCUGGGAAAUAAAGCCUUUCUGAUAUCAGUCACCAGCAACACACUAAGAGCUCAGAAGAAUUUUUGGGUUGGAGGGUCCCUGUGCUGCACAGUCCCCUGCCUGCCAGCUUGUAGGAGGCUUCCAAGGGUUCCUCUGCCUGUGUGGGCAGCCCACAGGAUGUAGCUCAUAGUCUGUGACUGACACACCUUCUGGAAGGUAGGAGUGCUCUACCACCUCCUUUCCUAUGCCAUCAACUGGGUCCUGAGGUCUUUCCUAGCAACUUGUCACUCUGGUUUUUUAAGAUUUUCUAAGCCUUCUGAUGUUGACAUUCUUGUAGUGAACUUUCUCACACACUUUCUGUAAAUAACUCAUUGUUUUGCAUUCCUUUAUGGAGAGAGUUGAUAGACUGUUGGUUUGACCAGUGUUAUUGGAGAGGUGGCACUGUCACCCUCCAAUCCACUGUCACUUUUGUAAAACUAUAAAUAUUGG